rnacentral:lncRNA from 1 species
GCAAUAACUACGGAUGCACAGGUUCUUUUUUUUUAUUUUCUGAAAAAUGCAGAAUUGAAAAUUAACACAAAAAACACGGGCAACCCAACAAGAAUUACCAAAUAACGUCACACAAUUCCAUGCACGCUCAUGCCCUAUAUGGCGAAAUUUAAAUAUCGAAUUGCGAGGUACCACUAUAUCAGUCAUAAUAUAAAAAAUAUGGUGGCUGCUAUUUCUAAUUACGUUACUCAAUCAGUUAAUAUUUGAAAAGUUAUAAUCAGUUUUUAUUAUAAAUAAAAUAAUGCUUAGUAUGGAUAUAACAGUGAUGAAUUAGAAUAAUAUUAGAAUUAAAUAAUUUAGUAAUACUCUUAUAGUGAUAUAUAUAUGUGGGAUAAAUAGAAAAGUUAUUCAUAAUGUUUAUAGAUCAUUACAAGUAAUUAAAAUUUAAUGAAAUAAACUUUAUGCAGGUGAAUCUAUUCAGGUAUAAUCUAUUAUUUCUGCAAUAGUAUCAAUAUCUAUUAAAUACAAAUUAAUUACUGAUAAAAAUGGUGUUCACGAAAUUUUCUUUAAAAUCUUGUUUAUUUUCACUCGAGACUAUUUACUUUGAUAAUAAUUUAUUUACUUUUAAUGAUACUCAUACUGAUUUAGGUAUAAUUCUGGACUCUAAACUUUCUUUUUCUGCUCAUAUUGACAAAAUUAUUAGUAAGAUAUAUAGAUUAACAGAAUGUAUGUGUGCGGCAUUUACGGAAUAUUAAAGACAGCUUAUAUAAAAUUUGGGUACAUUCUAUAAUUCUGUCUAAUAUCUAUUACAGAUAACAUGAUAGAUAGGUUCCUAAAAACAGUGUGUUGUCUGAAACUGUACUAUAUUAAACCCAGAGCCGAUACAAAAAGGAGAGAUAAGUUCAAAACCCAAUGAAAAAUAAAUAACUUUCUUUAAUUCCACUUAAGGAAUUUAAUUUUUAUUGAGAAUAUUAAUAACCC